GACUCUCGGCAACGGAUAUCUCGGCUCUCGCAUCGAUGAAGAACGUAGCGAAAUGCGAUACUUGGGGGGAAUUGCAGAAUCCCGCGAAUCAUCGAGUCUUUGAACGCAAGUUGCGCCUUCCGGGUUAUCGCCGCAGGGCACCGCCCGGUACGAUCGCCC